GCCUGGAUGGCUCAGCGGUUGAGCAUCUGCCUUUGGCUCAGAUCAUGAUCUUGGAGUCCUGGGAUCGAGUCCCACAUCAGGUU
rnacentral:tRNA from 1 species